rnacentral:rRNA from 1 species
GAUGAACGCUGGCGGCGUGCCUAAUACAUGCAAGUCGAGCGAGCGGACGAGAAGCUUGCUUCUCUGAUGUUAGCGGCGGACGGGUGAGUAACACGUGGAUAACCUACCUAUAAGACUGGGAUAACUUCGGGAAACCGGAGCUAAUACCGGAUGAUAUUUUGAACCGCAUGGUUCAAAAGUGAAAGACGGUCUUGCUGUCACUUAUAGAUGGAUCCGCGCUGCAUUAGCUAGUUGGUAAGGUAACGGCUUACCAAGGCAACGAUGCAUAGCCGACCUGAGAGGGUGAUCGGCCACACUGGAACUGAGACACGGUCCAGACUCCUACGGGAGGCAGCAGUAGGGAAUCUUCCGCAAUGGGCGAAAGCCUGACGGAGCAACGCCGCGUGAGUGAUGAAGGUCUUCGGAUCGUAAAACUCUGUUAUUAGGGAAGAACAUAUGCGUAAGUAACUGUGCACAUCUUGACGGUACCUAAUCAGAAAGCCACGGCUAACUACGUG